ACAUUCAGCCGUCUCUCUGGUUUACACCAACUUCAACAACUUGUGGCCUGCAGAUACUCAGUAUAAAUAGCUGGAAAGGCCUGACCUUGACAACCUCAUUUCUCAUUCCUUUCUUGUUACAGAUCCAUGACUACAAGAUCCACACCUACAAAGUUCCUUUUUUCCAUGGAAGGCGACAUGGUCACACUCUCCAGCUUCUACGUUUGGUGACAUGGUUACAAAGAUCUUCUCUACUUCAAGGCUGCCUAUAAACAAAGGCCCCUUCAUCUGACCGGCCAUGAUGGUGAGGCUGGAAUUGGAGCCUUAUAUCCACGGUGUUUUUUGUCCUAUCUUUCCUCCUUUGGUUCAUAGAGAAACAUACCUCUUUUUGGUUAUGUCAAUAAAUGGUCAG